AGCUACUGUAAGGGGACCAGUCAUCGUCAGUACAUUCAUCUCCAGAUAGCUAGGUGGACCAGUCAUAGUCAGUACCUUCAUCUCCAGAUAGCUACUGUAAGGGGACCAGUCAUAGUCAGUACAUUCAUCUCCAGAUAGCUAGGUGGACCAGUCAUAGUCAGUAAAUUCACCUCCAGAUAGCUAGGUGGACCAGUCAUAGUCAGUACAUUCAUAUCCAGAUAGCUAGUUGGACCAGUCAUAGUCAGUACAUUCAUCUCCAGAUAGCUAGGUGGACCAGUCAUAGUCAGUACAUUCAUCUCCAGAUAGCUAGGUGGACCAGUCAUAGUCAGUACAUUCAUCUCCAGAUAGCUAGGUGGACCAGUCAUAGUCAGUACUUUCAUCUCCAGAUGGCUAGUUGGACCAGUCAUAGUCAGUACAUUCAUCUCCAGAUAACUAGGUGGACCAGUCAUAGUCAGUACAUUCAUCUUCAGAUAG
rnacentral:lncRNA from 1 species